rnacentral:tRNA from 1 species
GCAGUGGUGGUUCAGCAGUAGAAUGCUUACAUUCCACGCAGGAGACCCAGGUUCAAUUCCAGGCCAAUGCA